rnacentral:rRNA from 1 species
AACGUACUCAGUUCGGAUUGUAGUCUGCAACUCGACUACAUGAAGCUGGAAUCGCUAGUAAUCGCGAAUCAGCAUGUCGCGGUGAAUACGUUCCCGGGUCUUGUACACACCGCCCGUCACACCAUGGGAGUCAGCAACGCCCGAAGUCAGUGACCUAACCGAGAGGAAGGAGCUGCCGAAGGCGGGGCAGGUAACUGGGGGUGAAGUCGUAACAAGGUACC